AGACAUUUUCACUAGAAACUAGAGCAAAAUUACUUGGUAAGAUUGUGUGUAGUUUUCCUGUCACUCAUGAAAUCUUCUGAACUUUGGAUUCAGGACAAGAAACAUAUGAAGCAUGUACUAAUCCUAGUACUGCAUUGGGAUCUCAGCAGUGCUAUGAGCACGUGAAAUCAUCAGCUCCAGUUAUGAGCCUCUGAAAUGGGGGAGGGAGAAGAAGUAGAAGAUAAUCCUCAAGAGCUUUGAGUCCAUUCCUUCCACGACCCCUCACCCCCUAGAUUAGUCCCUCAUAGUCUAUCUCCAUCCUUACACUCUUUUCCUUAUUUUUUUCCUCCAAUCCCUUUUUUUCAGACAAAAUGGAAAAGAAACAGGCUUUCAUCCGUUCAAGUGUCAGCAGUAUAUCACAUGAGCUGGGGGAAAAGACGCUCAAGCAUCAGGGAAAUGAAAAGGUCCAAAAAACUGGCACAGGCUAGAUCAAAAAGGCACUUUAGAUCUCUUACAGCAUCGCACAGGGCUGUGUGUUGUUGCUUCCUCACAGUGAACUGGAGUGCUGUACAAGCAAAGCCUUAAAUUCACCUCUUCUCUUCACAUUUCAAAGAGGCUGCAUUUGAUUCGCUCGAUUCCAUGGAGACUGGAAUAUGCCUCACACUUCAGUGAGUUAAAGCUUUUCCAGCACUUGUACCGUUUAGCUUCUCAUUGGCACUGCCAUGCAGGAUGAGGAAUCCCGACAGCGCUGAAAUACAACACCCUCCGUCCCCAGGGACUUUACAUAAAAUACGCAGACAGACAUAUACAUAUAUAGAUACGCUA